AACGCGAAGAACCUUACCAAGGCUUGACAUAUACCGGAAACGGCCAGAGAUGGUCGCCCCGCAAGGUCGGUAUACGGGUGGUGCAUGGUUGUCGUCAGCUCGUGUCGUGAGAUGUUGGGUUAAGUCCCGCAACGAGCGCAACCCUCGUUCUAUGUUGCCAGCACGUAAUGGUGGGAACUCAUGGGAUACUGCCGGGGUCAACUCGGAGGAAGGUGGGGAUGACGUCAAAUCAUCAUGCCCCUUAUGUCUUGGGCUUCACGCAUGCUACAAUGGCCGGUACAAAGGGCUGCGAUACCGUAAGGUGGAGCGAAUCCCAAAAAGCCGGUCCCAGUUCGGAUUGAGGUCUGCAACUCGACCUCAUGAAGUCGGAGUCGCUAGUAAUCGCAGAUCAGCAACGCUGCGGUGAAUACGUUCCCGGGUCUUGUACACACCG
rnacentral:rRNA from 1 species